CAGUCGCCACGGUAAUACGUAGGGUGCAAGCGUUAAUCGGAAUUACUGGGCGUAAAGCGUGCGCAGGCGGUUCGCUAAGACAGAUGUGAAAUCCCCGGGCUUAACCUGGGAACUGCAUUUGUGACUGGCGGGCUAGAGUAUGGCAGAGGGGGGUAGAAUUCCACGUGUAGCAGUGAAAUGCGUAGAGAUGUGGAGGAAUACCGAUGGCGAAGGCAGCCCCCUGGGCCAAUACUGACGCUCAUGCACGAAAGCGUGGUGAGCAAACAGGAUUAGAUACCCGAGUAGUCCCUGUCUCUUAUAA
rnacentral:rRNA from 1 species